rnacentral:rRNA from 1 species
UACGGAGGGGGCUAGCGUUGUUCGGAAUUACUGGGCGUAAAGCGCACGUAGGCGGCUUUGUAAGUUGGAGGUGAAAGCCCGGGGCUCAACUCCGGAAUUGCCUUUAAGACUGCAUCGCUAGAAUUGUGGAGAGGUAAGUGGAAUUCCGAGUGUAGAGGUGAAAUUCGUAGAUAUUCGGAAGAACACCAGUGGCGAAGGCGACUUACUGGACACAUAUUGACGCUGAGGUGCGAAAGCGUGGGGAGCAAACAGG